rnacentral:rRNA from 1 species
GUUGACCUCGGAUCAGGUAGGGAUACCCGCUGAACUUAAGCAUAUAUCAAUAAGCGGAGGAAAAGAAACCAACAGGGAUUGCCUCAGUAACGGCGAGUGAAGCGGCAACAGCUCAAAUUUGAAAUCUGGCCUCUUUAGGGGUCCGAGUUGUAAUUUGUAGAGGAUGUUUCGGGUACCGCUCCGGUUUAAAUUUCUUGGAACAGAAUGUCAAAGAGGGUGAGAAUCCCGUCUUGGACCGGUGGUAGGGCCCAUGUGAAACUCCUUCGACGAGUCGAGUUGUUUGGGAAUGCAGCUCAAAAUGGGUGGUAAAUUUCAUCUAAAGCUAAAUAUUGGCCAGAGACCGAUAGCGCACAAGUAGAGUGAUCGAAAGAUGAAAAGCACUUUGAAAAGAGAGUUAAACAGUAUGUGAAAUUGUUGAAAGGGAAGCGCUUGCAACCAGACUUGAGCGCGGCGGUUCCCCCUUCCUUCUGGUUGGGCUACUCCGCCGCGUCCAGGCCAACAUCGGUUCUGGGGGUCGGUCAAAGGCCCGGGGAAUGUAUCUACCCUUCGGGCGUAGACUUAUAGCCCCGGGUGUCAUGCGACCUCCCGGGACCGAGGAACGCGCUUCGGCUCGGAUGUUGGCGUAAUGGUUGUCAGCGACCCGUCUUGAAACACGGACCAAGGAGUCUAACAUCUAUGCGAGUGUUUGGGUGUCAAACCCCGGAACGCGGAAUGAAAGUGAACGGAGGUAGGAAGCUUCGGCUGCACUAUCGACCGAUCCUGAUGUCUUCGGAUGGAUUUGAGUAAGAGCAUAGCUGUUGGGACCCGAAAGAUGGUGAACUAUGCCUGAAUAGGGUGAAGCCAGAGGAAACUCUGGUGGAGGCUCGCAGCGGUUCUGACGUGCAAAUCGAUCGUCAAAUUUGGGUAUAGGGUAAGUCAAUCAACGUCACCUUCUCUUUUGAAAGUAAAUUACUAACACGCAUUCUCAACAGGGCGAAAGACUAAUCGAACCAU